UCAACCUCAAAUCAGGUAGGAUUACCCGCUGAACUUAAGCAUAUCAAUAAGCGGAGGAAAAGAAACUAACAAGGAUUCCCUUAGUAACUGCGAGUGAAGUGGGAAGAGCUCAAAUUUAAAAUCUGGUAGUCCUAUAAGGCUGCUCGAGUUGUAAUCUAAAGAAGUGCUGCCCGCGCUAGAAUCUAUGUACAAGUCUCCUGGAAUGGAGUAUCAUAGAGGGUGAGAAUCCCGUCUCUGACAUGGGCUUUCUGGGGCUUUGUGGCAUGCUCUCAAAGAGUCGAGUUGUUUGGGAAUGCAGCUCAAAAUUGGUGGUAAAUGCCAUCUAAAGCUAAAUACAGGCGAGAGACCGAUAGUGAACAAGUACCGUGAGGGAAAGAUGAAAAGAACUUUGGAAAGAGAGUUAAACAGUACGUGAAAUUGCUGAAAGGGAAACGCUUGAAGUCAGUCUCAUCAGCUUGGAAUCAACCUUUGCUUCUGCUGGGUGCACUUCCUUGAUUCUGAUGGGUCAGCAUCAAUUUUGGCCACUGGAAAAAGGCUGUAGGGAAUGUGACAUCUCUUUGUGGAUGUGUUAUAGCCCCAUGGUCAUAUGCAGUGGUUGGGAUUGAGGAACUCAGCAUGCCCGCAAGGGCUGGGUUUUUAUUAAAAC
rnacentral:rRNA from 1 species